UCCCGAAUGGUGUAGUGGCUAACAUUGCCGCCUCUCAUAUCGGUUCGCGGCAGCCCGGGGUUCAAUUCCCCGUUCGGGAA
rnacentral:tRNA from 2 species